UCAUUGUCUGGAAAACUGCCCCAUAUUGUAUGUUUCAAGCAUGUGUCUCAUAAUGGUUCAUCUUUCACCUCCCCAGAGAUUAUCGCUUCAACGCCUGUCUGCCCAGAGCUCCCACAGCGACCAUCCUCAGCCCAGUGCAACUCUGGGGUUCUCACACACAAGCAGCUCCAUGCUCAACUGACCAAAAGACUGCAGCAGGUGUUGAGGGAGCGGGAGCAGCAGGGGGAGCCCUGCACUGUGGUUCAGAAGGGAAGCUCCUCAGUGGGACAGCACAUGACAAAGCCUAGAAGUGCAGAGAAAGGGCCUGCAUCUGUAAAGAAGUCAAUGCCAGCUAAACCAGCUCAGUCUGCACAAGCUAAGGGCAACAUGGGAAAAAAUAAGUCAGAAAAAGCUGCAGGCACUGUGGUGAAGCAAAUAUCCAGCCAUUAUAAGAGCACUACCUCUAUUAGAGCAACACCAGAGAAGGCCUCUCAGUUUAACACUUCGUCAGCUAACAGGUAACAUGAACAUACCAUUUUGUGUUUGUUUUUUGCAACUAUUAUAUGAUUUAUUAGUUAUGUUUGUUUUUUCUAAAGGGAUAUAUUCAACAAGAGCUGGUAUCCAGGUUUAACUGUAAGUGAUGAAUUAUGUCAUUUUUACUUGUGUUGUGUUCAAGUUUACAUUUUACUGAAAUUAGCCAAAAAUACCUAAACACAUUCUGUGUAGUGUUUUUUUUUUUAUUAUUCUUAGAGUUAAAGUGAUUUUCUUGUUGUUAUUUUAGGCAAAGAUAUCAUCUGCUGGCUCCUGUGAAUUUCUAAAUUCACGAAAUCAAUCCAAGAAGCUUUUGAAUCAGCCUGAGUACACAACAUUUUAACAAUUAGUUUUUGUACAUUUAGUUUUAAUAUAGAAAAUCUGAACUAGAGAUCUUUAUUGAAUUUAAUUUCUAUGUAAUGAUUAGGUUUUGCCAUAUACUUGAUAUUUGCUUAUUUUUAACAGGGAUGUUUUUAAAUUUCAAUUGGAUGCACCAAAAUGUGGUGGGGUAAGUACAUUGGUUUCUUAAUAACAUUAGUUUUAUACCGUACAUUUACUAUUAUGCAAGUCCUGAUUUUGUAUUUUCAGAAGAAAAUGAGGAACUCUUCUGAGACGUCUGGAAUAGAAACCAGGUAAUAUCAUUCAUGUAACCAUGUUAAUCUUUAGUACGGUUAAAUUUCAGUUCUAAUGUGUGAGAUGGUGUCCAUCUAUUGAUGGUUGAACUUUUCAGUUCAUUCAUUAUGUGUUUUUAAGCAAGACAAUCCCCAUACUCUCCAUUAUUCACUAGACCUCCUAAACCAGAUACUUUCUAAUUUAUUAAAGUGUAUUUAAGCAUGCAUUACUUUGGUGGUAGUUUAAUUGAAUUCCAUUUAUACCGUUAUUAUUUGAGCAAGUCCAUUCUACAAAUAAUGUUGUUAUUUCUCUUUUGGUGUGCUCAGCAAUUCCCUGGAUCUGUCCAGCUCUGCUAAGAAGUGCCCUCCUGCGAAGGUCAGAUACUUUUUAAAACCAUUUACUAUGUGUUUUUUAAUUGAUGAAAUAGAACAAUGACUAAAACUCUAAAUCUCUCAUUAUUAAAUGGCAUUAUGUUACAUCUGAGUCUUACGAUCAAAGGGUUUCUAAAAAAUAUCCUUUUUUUGUGUUCUGGCCUUUACACAUAUUAAAAGCCUUUUCGUGAUUUAUUAGAUUAUAUUCAUGUAUCUUCUCUUUCUUUUCUUGUAACAUGUCAACAAUAGCAUAGCUUUGGUUUUGUUAUCUGGGCUUCAACUAAGAUGUGAGACUUGAUUUGAUUAAGUUGCUUGUUUUCUUUGCUGUGCAAAAUGCUCUCUUUUAUAUUUUUCCUGACAAAAGACAAGACAAGCCUGGAAAAGCCUGACCUUUGUAAAGACAAAUGAGUACAUUUCUUUUCAUGUUCUUUCAUCUUUAAACUUUUAUUUAAUCUGUGUCAUAUUUCUAAACGGCUGGAUCCUUCGUUGUUUAUAACUCAUUCAAGCGGGUUAUAUCUGUCCAGCACUUCUAUAGCUUUACCAAUAAUGAUUAAGUUAGCUGUGUGCUGUUGUUUUAGUCUUUGUUGUUAUAUUUUCAUACUGAGCUGAAGUUCGUCUAUUCUUUUGGUUAGUUUAACUUUUAUUUAAUACAUUACAUUACAUUUGGCAGACGCUUUUAUCCAAAGAUACUUACAAUAAUGAUGUGCAUUUAGCAAUAGAGGGUGUAGAAGUUCAAGGUAAAAAAAGCAUUGAGGAGGAUGUUGGGAAGAAGGAAAUGAGGUUGGAAGUAGUUAGUUUUUUAAAGGUGUUAUUAGAGUAAGUGCUCUUUAAAUAGAUCUGUUUUCAGGAGUUUCUUAAAGAUAGCGAGGGAUGCUCCUGUUCUGCUAGUAGUACGUAUUUUGUUCUUACAAUCGCCUACAUCACAUUUUUCUCCUCAAUAUACAUGGCCAAUUACCCAACCCACUCAUUAGGAUUCCCCCUAUCACUAGUAAUGCCCCAACACACCAGGAGGGUAAAGACUAGCACAUGCCUCUCUGAUACAUGUGAAGCCAGCCACUGCUUCUUUUUUGAUCUGCUGCUGAUGCAGUAUUGCUGAGCAGCCACUCGGUUCCGGUACAUCAGCUCACAGACGCCCUGUGCUGUGGACAUCACCCUAGGAGUAAUGUGGGGAGAGAGCGCCAUCUACCCACCCGGAGGGAGCAGGGCCAAUUUUGCUCCCUCUGAGCGCCGGAAGCUUGAUGGCAAAGCUGCAUGAGCGGGUGUUCAAACCUGCGACCUCCCGCUAUUAGUGGCAGCGCUUUAGACCGCUGGACCACUCUGCGCCCUUAUAGGCAAUUUUAAGAGCUUUGAAUUUAAUAAGAGCAGCAACCAGUAGCCAGUGGACCUGAAUGAGCAAUGAGGUGACGUUCCUGUUUUGUUGCUGUGUUCUUGGCCAUUUAUAAAGUCAGCUAAUUUUCUAUCUGGAGUGUUUUCCUCUGCAUAGCAACGAUUAUAAGGUUUUUCCAUUAAUUCAGUAUCUUCAGUCAUAUUUCUCCAGUUUUGUUCCUCUGAUUUGUUCAGCAGACAGGUUAAACACAUAUGGCCAUAGUAUGAACUUAAUUUGCUGAGUCUGUUUUACAAACUUAGUGUCAUGUUUUGUUUUGUUAAUCAAUGAAGAAAUUCCUCAUUAGGACAAUAAAAAUGCUCUCAUAAACUUACA
ensembl:lncRNA